AUUGAACGCUGGCGGCAGGCCUAACACAUGCAAGUCGAACGGCAGCACGGUGAUUGCUCGCUGAUUCGGGGGCCGAGGGGUGGAUAAUGGCUGAGAACCUCCCAGUUUGCUGGGGCUAGGGUGCGAACGUGGGGGCACUUACGGUAAUAGCCCUGAGGACCAAAGUGGGGGAUCUUCGGAUCUUCCGCUCUUAGAUGAGCGUAGGACGGGUUAUCUGGUUGGUGGGGUGGCGGCCUACCAAGGCGACGAUGCGUAACUGGUCUGAGAGGAUGAGCAGGCACACUGGAACUGAGACACGGUCCAGACUCCUACGGGAGGCAGCAGUGGGGAAUAUUGGACAAUGGGCGGAAGCCUGAUCCAGCCAUGCCGCGUGGGUGAAGAAGGUCUUCGGAUUGUAAAGCACUUUUAGUGGGGAGGAAGGGCAGCAGGUUAAUACCUGGCUGUUUUGACGGUACCAACAGAAUAAGCACCGGCUAACUUCGUG
rnacentral:rRNA from 1 species